rnacentral:lncRNA from 1 species
AGUUUUGUCUAGGAAAGACUAAGUGUGCUGCUACUCAGUAUUUUCCUUGGGCUCUUAUUUCAGUUAAUAAUCUCUUGUGCUGGGGAAUCAGGAACUGGGAGGGAGAAUAGCUGUCACACAUGUACCUCUUUUUCCUUUACUGUUACUUUUGUAGUGGAGAAAAAGAAAAUGUAUAUAUGCAUUUAAUAUAUGUAUGUCUGUGUAUAUGUAGCUAUAUAUGGCUUUAAGUGACUUUUUUUAACAGCUUCUUUUAGUUAAUAGCAGUAAGGUGUAAUCAAGUGAGCUAUUUUCCUCAUAUAUUUUCAUUGUAGAUAAAAAUAUACCUUUGAGGAAUAAGUAAUUUUUUUUUUGUCUGUAUAUAUAUAUGUGUGUGUGUGUGUGUGUCUUUUCUAUUAUCCUUUUCUGCUUCCUUAGCCUGUGGGUCCUUGGCAUGGAACAAACUACUAGUGUAACUUUACAGCCUAUCUCCCAGUGGAAUGUUUGUUGUGUGUGUGUGUGUGUGUGUGUAUCACAAGUUAUGAAUACUGAUGAUAAUAAUAUGGGUAUGGCAGCAGAUUCGAUGGUGGGUAGUGGGGAGUAAAGAACAAGGAAGAGAGGUGGAAGGUAUAGAAGACAGAGAAUAGAAGAGAUAGACUGAAGUUAGUUUUGAUGUGGCACAUAGCAGCUGCAUAUAUAUAUCUAUAUAUAUAUAUAUGUGUGUGUGUGUGUGUAUGUAUGUAUACACACAUGCAUACAUAUUUUGAUUGUAUGUAUAUAUGUAUGAAAAAUUGUUUUCUAGACUGAUAUAUAUAUAUAUUAGUGCGUCUGUUUGUGUGUAUGUGUGUGUGUGUGUACACACACACAUAUAUAUAUAUAUACAGUGGGCCAUUUUUUGUAUAGCUAUCUUUGUAAAGAAUGGCAAACCUCAGCUACUUUUGAUUUAGGAAUGGAAUUAUAACAAGCCAUAUGAUGCCAUGCCAUGUUGUGCCGGUUACUUUCAAAUCCUUUUCUUUUUUUUUUGUUUGUUUUUCUUUUGUUUUGUUUUACACCAUGGUUCAGGGUGUAUGUUAACCAGGGCAUGCUAAACAAGUUUAUUGAAAAGAGCAUUUUUAUAGCAGUCCAGUCAGUGUUGCUAUAGUAAACAGUUGUAGCAGUUCAGGUAUGAGCUACGUAAUUACAGCAGCAGUAAUAAUAAUAGUAGUAGUAAAAGUAGUAGUAAUAUUGACAACAGCAGCAGCAGCUGUUGUAGUUGAGUGGGGAAGAAAGAAAAAAGAGUCCUAACUACCUGUUCUUCAAGUUGACAUCAAACAGUCCAUUCAUUUCAUAGAGUGACAGUCUGCCUGUAUGACAUUCCUCUAGCGAUUCUACCAGCUGCAUUUAUUUGCUAUCUUUAUUCCUUUCCUUUUUUCCUUCAUUGGUGUUGUCAUCGUGUCCAUUCUUCAAUGGAAAUGAAGCAUACUGGAAGUACCGGGGGAAUUGUUUUAUUACCGUGUUGGAACUAGUUUAUUUGAAAAUGGAAGUCACCUUUAUUUAAAACCAAAACUACACAAGGAGGGAAAUAACAGCUUCAGUACAAACCACCCAAGCAUUUAAACCGGACUGAAGGGUGCAACAGCCAUAUGUGUAUGAAAUUUACAUAAAUGCAUCUGCCUAUCAUUUUUCUUUAUUUACUCUGGAUUUAAUUGACAGCAUUCUUUUACAAAAUGAUGUAUAUAUUGAAAAGAAAUUCAUAACUUGAUUCAUACUUUUUAAAAUUAUAUUUAUUUAUAUUCUGGGGGUGAAAAAAAUUCACUGAGUGAAAACU